rnacentral:rRNA from 1 species
GACAGGGGAUGCAAGCGUUAUCCGGAAUGAUUGGGCGUAAAGCGUCUGUAGGUGGCUUUUUAAGUCUGCCGUCAAAUCCCAGGGCUCAACCCUGGCCAGGCGGUGGAGACUACUAAGCUGGAGUACGGUAGGGGCAGAGGGAAUUUCCGGUGGAGCGGUGAAAUGCGUAGAUAUCGGAAAGAACACCAGUGGCGAAGGCGGCUUCCUGGACUCAUACUGACGUUGAGGCGCGAAAGCGUGGGUAGCAAACAGG